GUGCAUUUAGUGCAGUGGUAUCAUAGUACCCUCCCACAGUACUGACCGGGUUCAAUUCCCCGAAUGUGCA
rnacentral:tRNA from 1 species